CCCUCUUAAACUGCAAGGUUUAGUGUUGGGCCAGGCUGCGGCCGGCCUGAAAUAGCGAGGGGUGUGUAUAUAUAUCUCUGAGAUAAUGUCUAGGUUCUGCCAACUCAUUACGAAGAGAGACAAUACGUCUGAGCACCUUUUACUAAAUUACCAA
rnacentral:misc_RNA from 1 species